ensembl:lncRNA
CCUCUCCUCUCCUCUCCUCUCCUCUCCUCUCCUCUCCUCUCCUCUCCUCCCCUCUCCUUUUCAUUUUCCUUAUUUUCAUUUUCAUAUAAUUUUCUCUUCUUUUCUUAAUACUCCAGCACUAAGUGUGAGGAGCACUAAGCAUUUUAGUCAGUGACACUAACAUUUAAGCACCAAAUUUUAAGAGUUAAAUGGAUAAAAGCAGCUUACCCUGUCUUUGUGCAAGCUAAGUGAGUAAAUAUCUUUUUUAACCUGUCACUGAGUCCUAACGUGAAAUAUUCAGUGUUUAAAACAAAGCAAAGAGUUAGACCAUCACAUUCACAAGCUCCUCUAAAUCAGGCUCAUGUGAACGCUGAGCGUAUAAAUGCUUGCCUUAUUGGUGCAGUUGAUUGAACCCCACAUUUUCAUGUAAGAAUGUUUCUGGUCCCUUUAUUUAACAAUUAGGGUUGACUCAACACCUUGGGAGCAGACGCCACGUUUUGAAAGUCCUACAGCAACCUCCUGUAUUUCCCAGGGUCUGUAUUCCCUUCAUCUCCUUUCAUCUCCUACCAAAAGGAAGCUACCAAUAGGUUUGUAUAAAUGCAGCCACUGUUUUGCAUUCUACUCUAAGCUCCUUGCUUCAUUUCUUCUGGACUUAGCUCAUUAUAGUUAAAUGGUGCUAGAAGCUUGUGUCUUGGUGUGCUGCUAAUGGGGCAGAGCUCCAAUUAGCUGCUGGCGCAAGCACUGAAACAAAUCAGCAGCAUCUGCAAUGCACAGCUGGAUGGCAAAGACACCCGAAAUAUGCUGGGGAUUGAACUGAAGCCAAAGGCAGGAGCACUAAAGACAGAAAUCUGGAUCAGGCCUUGGAGAAGAUGGCUGUAGGGCCCACAGCUUGAGAGUCUGUCUGCGUAUGGAGGGUUAAAGAAGAGCUCAGAGAAGAGACAAAGUUUGGACUGCAGCAAGGAUUUCAAGGUAUCCUUUCAUCCUGAACAGGUGGCAAGCAUCUUGUGGUGUUUUUCUUUGCACAUCACUUUUACACAGUAAAGUUCAUUUACGCAUAGGUCCAGAAGUCGUGGAAAAACAUGUAGAGAUCACAAAUUCUGUUUUGCUGUGCAGGAGAGAAUUACACAGCUGAGGCACAGCAGACAGAAUUAGUGAUUCAGAAGCCAGGUUGGUUAAUAGGCUGCUGAUUUUCUCCUUGUGUCCAUCACUCCAGCAGUUGUGCUUGGUCUGAAAGGAAUGAAGGGAUACUUUCCCAGUGGUCACCCAAUGGACAGGAGGUCCACGUGUCUGGUUAAACCACAUCACCAUGACACGACAAAUGGGCCCAAGUUCCUUCAACAAGCAAGUCAAAUCCUGCUACCUAUAAAAACAACCCCAUACCUGGCAGAAGUUCUCUUCGCCCCUGCAGAUGGUGUUGCAGUUGGUGGUGUUGCUUACAAAGAUGAGAUAAAAAUAUAUCAGCCUUGCUACAGGAAGGGCAUUGGCACCAUCUCAGACUCAGACUAUGGCUGGAGCUUUUGGGGUCAGGGGAAGUCUUUCAGCUCUCACUCCCAGAAGCAAAACAGCAGCCAUCAGACAGCCGAGACUGCCAGCCCCCAGCUGUCCCGCAAGAACGAGCACGUAUCCUUUGACUCUCCUGAAAGUGGGAUUCAAUUUCUCCGCACUGCAGGGAGGGGGCGAAGUGCUUUGGGAAGGGAAACAGCAGAGGCUCCCCACGGCCGCGGCCUUGUGCAGGGUUCCUGUGGCCCAGCUGACUCACUCCCUGCUGGCAGCCUGCAGCCGCACGGACACCACAAAUAGGCCGCUGACCUACUUGCAGAAGGGCCAGCGGCAGCAGCAGGCGCUCAGCCUGCUUUCAGGAUGGCACACAUGUCCCUUCCCAGCUGACUCUUCACUUCAGUUCCUAACAGGCUUCAUUCUGCAUUUGAUGCUAACUCUGGGGCUUCCACGCGCAGGGGCUAGGAGUACAGGUCCAGUUUCCCCUAUGGUAUUUAAAACAGAUCCCAUGAACAUGAAAGUAGGUCUAGGCUCAGAGGAUGUUCUAUGAAUGUGAAGUUAAUGGAGGAGCAAUCUGCCAGUCUACAGUGGUGUUACUAAAGUCAAGGAAGAACUGCCAUUUCAAUUCCAGUCAUGCUGUCCAGAUUCUUGAUCAUCUUAGAGGCCCUCUACUAACACGUGUGAUAAUUUUCGUGCCCCUUUGUCAUGCUCCGUCCCUGGAGACAUUCAAGGUCAAGCUGGAUGGGGCACUGUGCAACCUGAUCUGGUGGGUGGCAGCCCUGCCCAUGGCAGGAGUUGGAACCAAAUGACCUAUAAGGUCCCUUCCAACACAAGCUAUCCUGUGAUUCUGUGUUUCUGUACUUUAUGUUAACUCUUAAUAUUUUAUGCUGAGAAGGGUCUCAGUGCAUUAGUUCUGAUCACGCUGUCAUUGCUCUUCUACAGCACGGCUCCAUAAAUAUAUGUGUAAUUUUUAACCCUAUGCAUAAUCAUUACUAAUUUUGGAGUUUAAACAGUUUUAGAUAAGAAAUACACUUUCCAUCCCCCUUUAAAUAGGGAGUUAGGAACUUGUUUGUGCUACUCGCCUUGGCUCGUAUCUGGAUGGAGUAUGAGUCUUAUGUCUCUUGAGACAAUGUCUGCUUUUGAUAUGGUUGCUAAAUCUGGUUCUUUUCCCUGUUAAAUUCGGCUGCCUUGACAGAGUAAUCCACCCUUCUACAGACCAGAUGACUAGAAAGGCUGGUUAUACUUUUCAAGCAGUUCUCUUUUGGGAUGAUCAAGUUACAGCAAAUUUAUCAGCAAUUAUACAAAUAAAGAUUUGCUUUAACUUCAAGGGCUUGGGAUUUUUUAAGGUAGAAAUCCUAAGAAAAUGCAGAAAAUGGGAAAAUUAUACAUUAGCAGAGCAUCACUAAAAUGGCCAGGUCUGGUGUGCAUGAUUUACAGAGGCUGAGAGAACUUGGUCUGCAGAAGAGAAGGCUAAAAGGGGCAUCUAACUGCUGUCGUGACUACCUGCUGGAUAGUUACAAGGAAAAUGAAGACACUUUCUGGGAAGUCAAUAGCAAAAGAGGCAACAGAGAUGAAUCACAAAAAGGAAAUUCUGAUUAGGAAAAAAUCCUCACAAUGAAGGUGGCCAAACAUCAAAACAAGUUGUCCAAAGGACUUGUGGAGACCAUUCUGGCAAGUACUCAUAACUCAACUAGACAAAACCCAGAGCAACCUGACCUAAUAUUGAAGCUAGUCCUGUUUUGAGCAGAAGACUAGACUUCCCUUUCUUAUGAUAUUCCUUGAAUUUUGCAUUGAUUCUAUGAAAAAAUGUUGUAACUAGUUGUCUAAUAAGACAUACAUUGAUAAGGAUACCACAAUUUGCACAAGAAACAAAAAGUACUAAAUUAAAUCUCUUUAUUUCCAGAAGUAGUUUCAUCAAUAUAAGGAUACAAAAUGUAUUUCAUAUUCAUUUUAAAGUUAUUUAAUCUUCACAGGUUGUGAGUGUCUUUUUAAUCAAUCAUAGAAGCCACAAAGCUGGAAAUUCAGUGUGCUGUUCAGACUUCCAAUGAUGUCUGGUGAUGUGAAGAGUUUGCUUGCAUAUGCCCAGGAACAGUGAUCUCUUCUAUGAAAUAAAUGUAGAGAAUAAUAGACACAUUCUUCUUGAUUAGCAGAGUAAAGGAUAACUCUGUAACAUACCCUGCAGCUAUGAUAAAAGAGAUAAAAUGGGAAAAAAUAAUGGAACUUAAAUUCGGUAGAGAAGUAAAGGCUAUAUGAUCAUUUCUCUCUCUGGGGCAUUCUUCAGAUGUGAAGCCGAACCAAAUAUGCGGAGUAACUCAAGUUUGAGCUGACAAGCAAUCACAUACUUAAGAGUUCAAUAUGUAAAGCAAUUUCAAACCUACUCCAAAAAAGACAGGCUUGGGGAGAGUUUCUUUUGGGAAAAUACUUAUCUGUAGCCAAGACUAAGUUAAGCAUUUUGUCUAACCCCAAAGUUUUAGCCAAUGUGGAGAAACAGGCAUGUCUGGAGGUCAAUUUAUUUUGUUCAAGGGUAUGCAUUUGAAACUGUGAUUCUUAUAGCUGAUGAAAUGAAUGCCACUCAAAGGUUUCAUAAUGUUGGAAAGUAAAUAUUUAACUAUGGAAAUAAGGAAAUUAUUUUGACUUUUUCUAUAAAAAUGGGGCUAUUACUUUGAAGAAGAAUGUGCUUUGAUUAAUAAUUACAAAAUUGUGAAAUCCAACACUUAGCUCUAUUUUGGGGUGAAGAAAAAAAAAAAAAGAAGAAGAAGAACACUGAGCUUUCUUUCCUUUGCAGCUUUUUGGUUUUCUCAGCACAACAGAAAAACUAACUCCCUGUUUUACAUUCUACUGGUCCUGUACCACACGCAUUAUGGUAGAGUUGAGUCAGUAUUUACAAAGCAAAACUAAAAGCCUCUUAAGUAGCAAAUAUGGUUGCUCAUAAGCUGCAGAAUGUGAUCUGUUAAUUAGUAUUAUUAUUGUGCUGCUUUUUAGAAAAUCACUGAGCGCUUCGUCCAAAUGCCUGUGAUUACAAAUGUUUCAUACGUUUUAAGAAAGUGAUUAUCCUCUUGAAACUGAAUAUGUGACAGUUUGAUGUUUUCAUUCAUUGAUUUGUGAUCCUAUUUAAAAUUUAAGAGUCAUCCAGACAGGAAAAACACUACUUGAAAGUACAAACACAUGGCACGUACAAAUACACUAAAACGCUUGAAGAAAGCUCAUUCAAACAGCCAAAACACUGAAUAUUAUUAAUGCAAAAAUAUUCCACAGGGAAAGAACUUAAAAUCAAGACUAAAAACAUUAAAAAGCUCAUUUCAGAAUUUUCUCCCUUCAAAAACAAUGUUCAAUCCACAAUAAGCAGUUCAGCCAGCUCUAGACUCAACUCGGGUCUCAUCCAGUCAUUAUUUUGGUACUUGAAAGCAAAAGGGAUUUGAUGGGAAUGUAUGAUGGAUUAUUUUCUGCACGUUUUUAAUUGGGUGACUUCUUCCCUUAAAGGGUUCCUAAUUUUUCACACAUGUCUCCAAACAUCCUCUGCCAAUACUAAAUUCCGCUCAGAUGGGUUUUCUGUUAGAGAAAAAUCUGGCAGUUACGACUCCUUGGCUAUAAUCCAGUAAAUCCAAGUAGGAGGAGCCAGGAAACUGAAGUGUUUUAUGUAGAUAGCAUAUUUGUUCUUUGUGCACCCAGAUUUAUACAUUCUUGUAAUAAACAAAGCCCUGAACAUUUUUUGGUUCCUUUUUUAAAUUAUUUCUUUUAAAAGCAAUAGUACCACAGAACCUCCUUCCAAAUCAUUAGCUAUUCUUUCUCUGGUCCUCAGUUCGUCAAAAGUUAACUGGCUGUAUUUACUGAUGUCUACAAAUCUCUCCACAUCUCUCUCUCUUUGUCUACAUUGGUGUAUAUGAUCUGAUGGAAGCAUUUCUAGGAAUUAAAAGAAAAUUGGUCCGAUAGUGUGAAUUAUCCAUCGUCUUCUUAGGCAGAAUCAAUCUUAUUGAGUAGCUGAAUGCCACCGGAUAUUAUAUCUUCUUUAGAUAUUCCCUCUUUUAAUCUUCAGAAAGGGGAUUUGAGACAGAGAAACCACUUGAUAAAUUUCCUUGAAAAAAAAAACAGAAGACUUUGUGGACAUAAAUUAUAGACUUUUAACUCAGAUGGGGAAUUGAGAUUUCCAAGUUUGUAGAUGAAGAUUCAAGUACGCCAACAAUGAGUAGUUGAAGUAGUACAGCUGAGCAAAGCAAGGCAGCUUUAAAAGGCCCCAAAUGCUUGCAUCCACAUUCCAUGACUUUAUGAGUGAUUAUUUUUGCUACAGAUUUAAACAAAGCCUAUCAUCUUAUUCCUUAUUUUUCAGCUUGCUGAAAAAAAUGAUUUGAAGAAUGGGUUGUACCAUACCACUGAUGCCUCCUUUAUACAACAAUGUCAGAGGUUUAGGGCUAGAAAGCUCCCAUACCUAAGUUCAGUUAGAGAGACAAUUGUGUGUAUGCUUGAGUUACUGAGGACAUGCUGAGUACAAAAGUCUGCAUAAGGUAUUUCUACUCUCUCUCUCUCUCUUAACCUUUUUUGUCUCUCCUGCAAGUUUGGGUUUGUUGGCUGAUUACCAAUGUUAAUGACUGUUCUUCAUUCUAAGGGCUCAACAGACAAGGGUAUGUCAGAACUGAAAAUUCUGUUCCACAGGAAAUUCUGACAUUUUGAAAUAUGUCCAAGUUUGAAGAGGAAAAAAGACCAGAGAAUUUGUAAAUUCCCGUGUAAUAAAACAUUCCCCUAAUGCCCUGUCAAUAGAAAUAUACCAUUUUAUUAAAAUGUUUUUAUUUUUUAAAAGAGCUUUUCUGAAAGAGGCAUUGUAAAUAAGAAGCAUUCAAUUCCAAAAGCUUUGCAAUGAGCUUUGAACAAAUUCUCUUUUACUAAGAAUGAAUGCUUCCAAUUUGAAACACACAACUUGAUACCAGUUCCCACUGUUGAACUGGCAUUUUCAAAUUGGAAAAUAUUUAUUUACAAAGUGCCUGCCCAGCACUAGGAAUACAGUGGAGAACCAGAGAAGCACAGGUAGAAGACCCAACCCUAAGGUAAGAGGGUGCACUUAAAGUGAGCUAAGCCUGCUCAAGCAUGACCAACCCUGCUGACUGAGCAAUCUCACCCAACUGUGUUCAUUUUAUAGAACAGUAAGGCACUUUUAAUAUUCUUUGACUUGUGACGUCUUUGUUACAGGUACUGGCUUUUUAAAUUAGUUCUGGGCAGGUUCCAGAAUCAUGGAUUUACAGAUUAUUUGAACACACUGAGAUAUUUUAAUUGGCUAAAAUGCAAACAUUUUACAUUUAAUGAAGAAUAACUGUUGAGCCUGAUUUUCCACUACCUGGUACAGUAAUACAGCCAUAACUUUACAGCAGAAGUAAGGCCUCAAUGCACAGUUUGACAGCUCACUGCUCGUGACCUUCUCAUGACAUAAAGCCCACUGGGCUUUCAGAAACCUUCUCCUGUGUGACUGCUUCUGAUCUGGCUCUUCCUUUCUAUUCCAGCAGCAUGGUGGAGUUCACAGCAAUGCAACUACUCUGCAGAGAUUCUCCCAGGCACUCGGUGCUCCCUUGGUCAUCCCCAGCUUCAGCAGCCAUUCUUCGGAACGUAUUAGUGAAGAGAGAUUUGUUGCCAUGCUGCAUUACACCAUUUUUUUUUCCCUCCAGCUAUUAUAUUACUUGCUAGGCUGUUGAAAAGAAGAAGCAAAAAUACAGCUCAAACUACCAGCAUUCUUUGCCACAAACCUGUAUCAACAGCAGCUUGUCCUGGCCGUUGAGCUCAUCUCUCAAAUCUGUAAAGCCUAACUCUGGCAAAUCUGUUCACAGCAUGUUUAGCUUAAAUCCUUCAAGCAUUACUAUUGUAAAUUAGGAAGUAUUCUGAAGUGCUUCAGUGAUACAUUUAACUGGGGCCUAAAGAAACGAGUAAAUAAGAUAUAAGGCGGAAAAGAAUGUGUCCUUGAUUUGAGUGUUUUCCCUGUUGUUUAGGAUAAUGCAUUUUAUCACUGAAUAAUUUCUGAUCUUUGCAAAACACUAUGGAAAUUGCUUGUUGACACAGUGUCAGAGCUGAGAUGUUUAUGUUUUCCUGGUGCUUUUAAUCUGUCGCAAAUCUUUGGCAACAAUAUCUUUGAGGCUGGGGAAAAUGUGUCUGAAAUUGUAUUGACAUUGCAAAUGGAUUUACAAGCUUGUCCUUUAAAAUCUUCUUUCCACUUUGUGCUUUACUGCUUACAGUAGAGUGGCAAUAUUCUGGAUAACUUCAGAAAUACAUAUAGUGGUUUGAAUGCAAACUGUGUAUUCCGAGACCAAGUUUCCAUCUCAGCAUCACUGCAACCACCAUUUUUGUAUACUGAGAUAUAGGUGAUGCCAUAUGCUAUGUCUGCUAUUUCAUCUCACUGAGUAACACUGUAGACAAACAGAGAACAACUAAGAGCAUCAGCAAAAUCAUUUCAUACUAAAGACAGCAUUUCUAUGAUGCAACACGUGGAGACUGUUCCUACUUUUCAUGUGGAAUUUCACAGUACAGCCAUGCAAUAAGGAAACCACUGGGUCGCCAAAUGACUCACUGCAUCACUUGGUAAUAAACAAAUGCUUGCUUCAUAAAAUGCAUCUUUCUACUAAAUUCCUGCCUUGAGAGUUUUAUGUAGCUGUAAAAAUUUGCUGAAAAAGCUCUGAGAUGUACAGAGUGAUACUAGUUUGAAUUACAGCUUCCCUAUUCAAAUAGCCUUACACUAUUCCUCUGAAAAGUUGCUUUAUCAGAAAUGGGAUCUUUGUUUCACACAGAUGACAUGUGAACACACUGGCUUGGAGGAGAAUAGAUUCCAUAUAGCUUUUCUGGUUAUGAACAUGAUGAGACUGCAAGUAUUUCACUCCUACUACAGACUCAGGGCUCCAGUUUUGCCUGCUACGUGUCCUUUGAUAUGGAUUGAUAAUAAGAAAUAUCUCCACUUCACUGAUUUCUGGUUUUUUUUCUAACUCCUCUCAUAUCUGCUGCUAACCCAUUAGUGAAAGAAAGAAUAUAAAUAAUGAAUGAGCCAUUACAAUGCAGGAUCCUAGUGAAAGACUGCAAGAAACUCAGACUUUUCCAGGGAAGGCUAACAUGAUUCAUACCGUACGCUUGCAUAAUAUUGGCGGCUAUAAGACUUAGGAGGAAUUAUUUUAACAGUUUGUUGUUCUCACAUAUCUUUAAAUAUUUGUCAUUGUGGGUCUCAGGGGAAGCCCAUGUUUAAGUUGGACAAGAGUUGUACGGAUAAAUCAUUACUGCUAGCAGAUCAUUCAGGACCAUCCACUUCCAUAGUCAGGCUCUAUUACUCACCAGUUCUAGCGCCAGCUGAAGACACCAAGGCACGGCUUCAUGCUGGAAUAUCACUGGAAUCUUUGAAUAUUACUGGAUCUCUGAGUAGUGCCCAGAGCUGCCUAUGGAGCCACAUAGGCCACAGAUUUCUGAAAUUUGAAAACCUUCACAGUUGUGAAUUUUCCAGCUGUUCUGUUUCAUAGAUUUAUUUACCCAUUUUGCAACUCUUCAAAAUUAAACUAAAUAUAAAACUGAUGUGUCACUGCCAAAUCCAAAAUCAAAGCAUUUAUUGUGAAAAUAUCAAGAUUAAACUUUUAAUCUUUGAUUCCUUCCCUCUUGGCUUUUCCAGAUGAGACAAUUAAGGAAAUUCAUUUGAAGUUCCCAUGUACUCUUGCUGCCUUGACUUGUUCAGAGAAUUUACUAUUUAGAAUCAAAAUGGUGUUCCUCCGAAGCAGUGCAAAGCAAUCCUUCCUCUGCAGCCAAGACAUUCUGCAAAACUGAGAGCCAAAAGGGCUCCCAAUAGGCAGUCCACUCUCAUGCUGUCCCACAUAAGCAAUCACAUGUUGCACAUAUUGAAACAUUUGCAGUUCUAAUUGUAGGAGUUUUCAAGUAAACACCUUGAUUUCAUGUUUUAUUUUUUUUUGCAUUGUUGUUUAAAAUUUGAGUUCUCCUUCACAGUGUUGCAAACACAAACACAGCCACGCAGAACAAUACUUCCGUGGAACAGAAUUUGUGUAAUUUGGCUACCCAGACAACUGGGUAAGCCCAAUUACACAAAUGCAAGGAGCUGGAAUCUCUAGGGUCUUCCAUGGGGGGAGAGCCCUGCGUGCGAACGGAUUGGCACUUGUCUUGCUCCAUCCUUUUUUCAUGUGUCAUUCCAGAAAGCAGAACCAGACUACAAACUCAUGCCGUGGCUCCACAGCCAGCUGAGGCCGAGAAGCCUGAGGAGUUUCUUUUAUGCGCCUAGCAUGAGCCUGUAUAUUAAAGCCAUUAACAUCACAGAUGAUAGCCUUCAUUGUGCCUCAAUCACGGAAUGGGUAAAUGAUGGUAUCACUGUGCAAAGAAAAUCUGUUCUUCCUGAGGUCUCUAGGAUGCACAUGGGCGCAGCCUGAUAUUGUCCAGGGAAGGCAGUACCUCUGGAAGACCUACAUUAAGCUCCUCUUAGACACUGCCUAAUGCCCAUAUUUGUGCCAAUAACUCAUGCAAUAGUUAUGAACAGCAAACUGGGAUUGUUAAAAUGGGGUGAUUUUUCUCGUCACGGAAUUAUUUUGAUUACUCCUGCCAUGAGAUUGUUACAUGGCACUGGAAGCCAAGAGAGGAAUGGAGUUCAAAAUCCUGCGCUCUAUUCUAAAAGCGCUGUUUAUUUUAAUAACUAUGAGCUCCAUGUGAGGACUGUAACACCAAAUAACAUGAAGAAAAUUCUGUGGCAGACAGGCCCUGUGCUGAAACCCACACAGCCAUGCCAGCUGGUUUCUGAAGGAUAUUUACCUAGGCUUUCAGCAUUUUCCUGAUGUUCUUCAGAUGCUGUCAGUAGUUGAAAGCUUUAUUCAGUGUGCCUCCAAUAGUGCUGUGCUCCAACAUUCCGCCGAGUUCAGUGGUUUGGAUGCAAACACAGCCGACCAUCUACAACAAAGCCUUGCAGAAUUUCAUGAGCUGAUCCCAAACAAAAAUCAGUUAUUUCCAAGUAGCAGCGUCUCAUCAUGCAAUAUAUACGAGCAAAGAAAUAAAAAGACAGUCACUUCAUGCCCAGGAAAUACCCAGUGGAAGUCAUAUGCAUAUGCAGAAUAGAAGAUAACUGUGAGGCCAGCAUGUCAGUGCAUCACAUGUAUAGUGCAUAAAUUAUAUGGUUAGCCUGACUUCACACAGUAAGUGGGUUUACCACGCGUUGUGCAGUUCAUCUGGGCAACAUAUGCUCCAAAGUUCUAAUUCUGUGGAAGUACUGCAUACUCUGUGGGGCUGAUCUGCUGUGCAUGGUGAAUGUGUCUGGGAUCUCUAGGUAUCCAGCAGCUCAGGCUGAGCUGCUAUUCUGGUCAGGCUGUCCCAGACAACUGUCAGCAUUCUGCUCCUAUGAAAUACCAGGACCAAGAAAAGGGCCUGUCUGUGAAAACCAGAUGCAUGGUAGGUAAGAGGAAAAAAAUAUAUUACAUUCCUGUGUAUUACAUUUUGUUACUGACCUUACACCAGAUCUCCAGACUGUUAAGUCUCCUCCUCAAGACCUAUGAGAUGUAUAUUUAUAGAAGAAAAUAUCAAAGCAUACAGAAAUAACACAGUAACCUGAACUGUUAAGUAAAUGUCAAUUAAAGUUAAAUAAAAAGUCAAUGUAAAAUUAAAAAAAAAAAAGAAAAGAAAGCUUUAAAUAACAUAGAACUACAAUUCUAGAAAUGUUCCUAAGCAGAAAAAAAUUGAUACCAUUGUCAGAUCAGGAAGAACGGGCUGAACAACCAACGUGUGCAGUUCACAGAGACUGAGCUCAAAGAAGUGCGCAUUCAUUGUUCUGCAUACAGCUGUGGCUGUUCCUUUUUCGAUAUCCUUUCUCCUUCACAACUGGAGCUACACUGCCCAUGUUGCAAGGGAGGUGUUCCUGAGAAGUUACGUGAGUGUGGCGAAGCAGGUCACUUGAAGAUGACAUGUUCUGGGCCACUAACCCCAUUCAUCCACCCAGGAUUCCUUUUCCUUCAGAUACCGUCUAGUGUUACGGCGCUCGGUGUUGAUUGCCAGGGCACUCGACAUUUGGUUGUUGUCUGAUGAGAGCAACUAACUGGAAUGCUCCCUCUGAGAAAACCUAUUGACAUAUAUGGGCUCUGUUGUAUCUUUGCAUACGUAGUUAAUACGCCCUGAAACCUGACAUAAGGAAAACUCACCAAAUGCUGUUUGGAUGUAGCACAAACGUAACUCUUCUUGCUUCAUUAAACAUUCACUCAUAACUUGCAAUUCAAUUCCAUCACCUGAAAUAAAAUACUUGAGACAACUGUAAACUAAAUGUCAGGCCUCUUUCUUGUCAUAGAAGAAGCCUUUUCCAUUCAGCAGAAUUAAUCAACUUAUCUUACUUGAAAAAUAUUUUUUUUCUGGAAACCUCCCAGAGAGUUUGCUUUGUGAGGCCAUCUCCCAGCAAUUCAAUAGGAAACAAUACGGGGUGAUUCAGAUGGGAAGGAUCAAACAAUGGGAUAUAAAUCCUGAUAUAAGACUGCAGAUGUUUUAAAUACAAAUAUUUUUAACCCUAAUACUCAUCCGUGUUAUACCGAUGAUAUGAACUGGCAGAAUGAGAGACUUGCAAUAAAGUACAAUACAAACAAAGCCUAUUUCUACUCAGUGCAUGAAUUUGAAAAUAAAUCAAACGCCGAAGCAUAGUUUCUUCAAACAUCUUUUUCCAAAGCCAACGGUUUCAUGGUAACGUAAUUUAGGUGAUGAGCACGCUCGGAUAAAUGCCAUGUGGGCCACAAACUAUCUGCUCCACCAAGAGAAACUGCCGUCCCAACUUAUCCCAGCUUCCUCUGCACCCACCAUCUUCAUUUUUUCCAGUGCAGUAAUAGCAAAAGCAUUGACAUGAUUCAGGACUUACUCCAAAAUUCUCUGCAGCUCUUUCUAGAAAAUACACAGGGUUGUACACUGAGAGUAUCUCCUGACAAACAGGAGAUCUUUUGGGGAUUAUGCUGCCUUCCCCUCUCCCCACCUGCCCUUUCUCUUCCCUUUAUUUCUCAUUGCUUACGAGACGGAUGGUUAUUAUCAGUUUAUUAUUACUGUUUUUCCACAGACUUUCUCAAAUGUCAAGUGAAUCUGAUCUGGAGUUCAGGCCCAUAAUUACACUGGAUCGACUCCAGGAACUCGUAAAUAAAUCGGUGGUGGCUGCAGUGGCUGCCAGAGCUCUGUCGUUCUGCUCUUCUGAGGGUGGACAGAGGCUUUGGCUCUUUUCUAAAAUUCUACACUUGCCAUUGAGUUUUUCUCACCUUCUUUUAAAAGACCCUGGGCUUCCUCGCUCGAGUUUGGCAUAGCCUCACACAGGAAGAGAAAGCUACCGGCCCGCCACAUGGUUGAAUACAUUCAUUUAGAAAAGCAGCUGAAAUGCAGAUUGUUACUUUCUGCUUUCUCCGUAUGUGGAAACCUUGCAGGGGCAGACAUAUUUCUGUCUCUCCUCUGGCCCCUUUGUUGACGUUCAUAGUUUACACUGGGCUUUACAGUGAGGCACAUCUUUGUCAUGGGAUAUCGACUGUGUUGAGCUUUGGAGAUCAGUUCCACAGCUUGCCAAGAAGGUCCCCUACGUGCAGGGAUGCUUGGAUUCAAGGUUAUGCAUUUAAAGGAAGCAGCGGGCACAACAUCCAUUCACAUGGCUUACGGAGCUCUGGGAAGCUGACUGGUAAAGUUAAAUGUUAUUUCCAAGCCUGUUUCUAAUCAUAUCAAUCCAUAUGGAGCACAGCAUCUGGUUACAGAAUGGAAUCUCCACCCAGCACAGGCUAAAACUUAACGCUGUAGAUGUCAUCCUGAUAGCCCUCAACACUUCUUCCCUGAAAAACUUCAAAUAAACUAUUUCAGCACAAGAUGAGAGCUGAGGACAUGUUCAGGAAACGGUUCCUUUGCUUCAGCCUCAUCUGCAGUUAGAACAAGUCCCUAAUAUCUGAAGGGAGGGAGUCCAAUGAAUGGGGCCAGGCUCUUUUCAGUGGUGCCCAAUGAGACCAAUUCUCUUCACAGGGGUCACUGAAAGGAAAGUAGGGAAUAGCAGAGCUUUAUCAGUGAUAACCUUGUUCACUAUCAUACCAAUUGCAUAAAGGUAAACUGCUGGACUCCUUUAAGAUAGGUUGAGCUACUGUUCCUGCUGCAGAGCACUUUUCAAACCAGUGCCAGUUACUUCAUGGAGUGAAAAACACCGAAUUCUUUGCAAAAGAAUGUCAUUUCUUUCCUAUGCCUCCCCCCAGGCAGCCCCAUUGUUUAAAUAAGUAUGUGCUUGUUCCCCAAAUACAGAUGGUUUUGACUCCCAUCAUAAAUCAAACACGCUUGUGUCAAACACAUUAAAAAUGUAGGGAAAAUCAUCUUUUUAACUGAUGUGGAUUUAGAUGCUUGGUCUGACCCAAAUUACGUUUCUUUAAUAAUCUUAAUUCUUUCCUGGUUCUUCUGGGAACAAAAGAUUCCAAUAUAUCAUCAUGCCUCCUUCUCCUCCCCUGGAAUUCCAAUCAAUCUUUUACUCCUUUUUAAAUGUAAAUUUUAAACAAUCAUGUAUCUGGAUCCUGGAUUAAGUCUGCAGGGGGAAAAAAUCUCUGGCAGAAGAUGGUAAGGACUGUGCCUAAGGCAAAAUCCAGACAAAUCGGUUCUCAACUGGAGUAAAAACAGCUCUUGGCAAAUGGAUCACAGGUUUUGGUUGCAAGAGUUCCAUCCAGAACCCAUUCUGAUAUUUGAAAAUAAAUCGGACAGAGUCACAUCAAUCACAACAAAAGCAAACGUAACAUCCAAUUGCACUUUCCCCCACUCAGACAGCCCUCUCAGGCCCAUUUUAUAGUGCAUUUCUUACAGGAUCAAAAUUCCUUGGUGGUUCCAGUGAGAAGCUGCCGCCUUUUUUAUCUGUAGGGAGAAAGAACACCUCUGAUAGUUUCAAUCAGUAUGACAGGAGCUGCGCUGAAAGGCAGCAGGAGGAAGCACACUUUUAAGGUCACUGUCCAUUCUAGGAUUUCUAACCUUGCUAUGGUUUAUUUCUGCCCUCCUUUCUGUGCUAGCCUCGCUCCUUCUCUCCCUCAGUCAGACUGGAAUGACCUGCCUGUGCUUUCUGUUUGAUGUGGGUUUUGUGUAUCUGCACAAAGUAAUUCAUAACCACUGGGCAAAAGGCAGUGCCCACACCGCAUCAUUAGCCAGCAAUUAAGAAACUUCUGCCUGCACAGAGCUAUAAAGCCCAGCAGUGCUUCAGGCCCUCAGUGCUCCUUUAGAGCUCGCCUAGGGCACAAAGCUGCCGUAGUGCUGCAGGGAGGCACUUUGUAGCGUGCCCUGCAGAGUGCAUUUUGGGCACUGAUUUGAAGGUUUUACGAUUCGCCUCCUUUUAGCACGUUUCUGCACCUUGAGAUUCCCUCCUCCUGCGCACGGAGCUGAGCAGAAGGGAAUCAGCCGUUCCGUUGGGUUCCACACACUGUCUGCUCAAGCUCUCAGGUUCAACACCCCCCGAGCGAUUCUCUCUUUGGUAAUUCUUCUCAUGCUCACAUUUCAAGUUGCUUUCUGAGACCUGAUCAAGAGGAACGGGACUGAAAUCCUUCACGUAGUACACUUAGAAAAAUGUCUGUCUAAAUAAAAUGGUUAAAAAAAAAGGCGAUUCUACCUUCUGGGCUAUUUAAUAUCAGAGAACGUGAACGUGUUCCCAUGCCCCCUCACCUCAGCACUGCUGGGGGCUGUGACAGGGAGGGCCACCGGCGCGCUGAGGUGGGGUCCUGGUCUCUUUCCCGGGGGCCCAAAGAACAACUCAUGGCUAAUUUGGAAGGGACCAACGAGGGAGCGGGACAGGCCUCGGUGUGACACGGAGGGCCGUCCGGCGUGACAGGGGGCUCAGGUCAGGGGCCCCUCACACCGCACCCCACGCCGGGCCGGGCGCGGCCCCUUUAAGGAGCGGAGCAGC